GCUUGCUUCUCUGUAUACAAUUGUUUGAGCUAUUCGUUGCAUACCAUUAGAUGAGUUGAAAGGCUCAUGAAUACAUUCACUAAGAAGUGGCUCACUGUUUAUUCAUGAAUACAUUCACAAAUUCCGUGCCUAUUCACAAUGUAUUUAAUACCUACGCGGAGGGGUUUUAAAAGGAACGAAACCCUUGAUUCUUGUGACUUCGCAAAAACUACAAAACUGAAACUUUUUUGUUUCUUAUCCUUUUAUUCAGUUUUCUUUUAAAAUAUCACAAUAAAUCUCAUUAAAACAUAGUAAAAUUACUAAGAGAUACUAUAUAUAUAUACAAGAAAUGUGGGUGGGUUUUGUGUCAAUAUGUUUUGUCCUUCCUUCAAUUUUUCGAUUAAAAACGAUAUGCGAGCAGUUCAAACAGACGUUCCAGCAAUAGUCAGAUUUAAACUUAACAUAUCAACAUAUAUCGACAGUAUAUGGCUUGCUAAUUUAAGCAUUUACCACAAAGUAGCACUAUUUUUAUAUCCUCCAGCAAAAGCUAUGAGAGAUGUCGAUAUUGAAGCAGUGAAGCAUUUCUGCAUUGAGGAGAUAUCAGGCAAUAUUGAGUUUUACACGUUCGAACACAAUGAGACCCCACAAAUUCCAUCUUCACCAAUUACUUCAACAUCAAAUACGUCUUCACCUGCAAAUGACCUGAACUUCUUUUUUCCAAAUAUUUCAAACAUGGGCUGCGCGCCCACGUAUCGAAGAUGAGAUAGAUCGAUAUUUUACAGAAAGAGUACAAUGUAAAAUGACUUUGACGCAAUUCAAUGGUGGAAGCAACAUAAAAGGCUGUCUUCGUAAAUGCAUAUUGCAAAGCAUUAACCACGAAUUAAUGCGCAACUAAUGCAAAACCUAAAUGUAUGGCAUUACUGUUUUACAAACCUAUACAAUAAAUAUUACAGAUGUUUAUGAACGCAGCUAUUCAAAGCAUCAGUUUGAGAACUGUCAAAGCUUUAAUAAUGAGCGCAAUCUUAAAAAAUUUGUUAAUAAACGCAAUAGAAUUGGCUGAACCAACAUCUAGCAAUAUUAGUAGCACAAAAAAAAUGCUGGAAAGAUAAAUAAGGUUGCGUGUGUUAUGCAUUCAACAUAUUAAUUAUAGGAGAAACAUCGUAAAGACAAAAAACUUUUGAAUAUCUAUUUUGAUGAUGGAGGAUUAUGUUUUCUACUCCCAUUUUCGAAUGAGGCGCUAUAAUUUUAAGAAACUGGCCACCAUGAUCAAGCCCUUUUGGAAAUUGCGCACCAAAGGUCGCGUAAGCAUUCCACUCUAUAAGGCCUUAUAUGUAACUAUUUGGAAAGUCAGCAACAACACGUCAUUCCGUGAUAUCAGCGAUCGAUUUGGGCGAGGAAAUUAAGUUUCCAAAUACGCCUGAUGAACAAAGGAAAACAAGCUAGAAAUUUUUAGCAAGUCGCCGCAAUCCGUUCCCAUGUGUUCUGGGUUGCAUUGAUGGUACCCACGCUCAGAUAUCCCAACCUCUUAGAGAUGCGGUCAGUUUCUAUAAUCGUAAAGGAACCUACUCCACAUUAUACA